GAUUAAGUUAUUAAGGGCGCACGGUGGAUGCCUUGGCACUAGAAGCCGAUGAAGGACGUUACUAACGACGAUAUGCUUUGGGGAGCUGUAAGUAAGCUUUGAUCCAGAGAUUUCCGAAUGGGGAAACCCAGCAUGAGUUAUGUCAUGUUAUCGAUAUGUGAAUACAUAGCAUAUCAGAAGGCACACCCGGAGAACUGAAACAUCUUAGUACCCGGAGGAAGAGAAAGAAAAUUCGAUUCCCUUAGUAGCGGCGAGCGAAACGGGAAGAGCCCAAACCAACAAGCUUGCUUGUUGGGGUUGUAGGACACUCUAUACGGAGUUACAAAGGACGACAUUAGACGAAUCAUCUGGAAAGAUGAAUCAAAGAAGGUAAUAAUCCUGUAGUCGAAAAUGUUGUCUCUCUUGAGUGGAUCCUGAGUACGACGGAGCACGUGAAAUUCCGUCGGAAUCUGGGAGGACCAUCUCCUAAGGCUAAAUACUCUCUAGUGACCGAUAGUGAACCAGUACCGUGAGGGAAAGGUGAAAAGCACCCCGGAAGGGGAGUGAAAUAGAACCUGAAACCGUGUGCUUACAAGUAGUCAGAGCCCGUUAAUGGGUGAUGGCGUGCCUUUUGUAGAAUGAACCGGCGAGUUACGAUUUGAUGCAAGGUUAAGCAGUAAAUGUGGAGCCGUAGCGAAAGCGAGUCUGAAUAGGGCGUUUAGUAUUUGGUCGUAGACCCGAAACCAGGUGAUCUACCCUUGGUCAGGUUGAAGUUCAGGUAACACUGAAUGGAGGACCGAACCGACUUACGUUGAAAAGUGAGCGGAUGAACUGAGGGUAGCGGAGAAAUUCCAAUCGAACCUGGAGAUAGCUGGUUCUCUCCGAAAUAGCUUUAGGGCUAGCCUCAAGUGAUGAUUAUUGGAGGUAGAGCACUGUUUGGACGAGGGGCCCCUCUCGGGUUACCGAAUUCAGACAAACUCCGAAUGCCAAUUAAUUUAACUUGGGAGUCAGAACAUGGGUGAUAAGGUCCGUGUUCGAAAGGGAAACAGCCCAGACCACCAGCUAAGGUCCCAAAAUAUAUGUUAAGUGGAAAAGGAUGUGGCGUUGCCCAGACAACUAGGAUGUUGGCUUAGAAGCAGCCAUCAUUUAAAGAGUGCGUAAUAGCUCACUAGUCGAGUGACACUGCGCCGAAAAUGUACCGGGGCUAAACAUAUUACCGAAGCUGUGGAUUGUCCUUUGGACAAUGGUAGGAGAGCGUUCUAAGGGCGUUGAAGCAUGAUCGCAAGGACAUGUGGAGCGCUUAGAAGUGAGAAUGCCGGUGUGAGUAGCGAAAGACGGGUGAGAAUCCCGUCCACCGAUUGACUAAGGUUUCCAGAGGAAGGCUCGUCCGCUCUGGGUUAGUCGGGUCCUAAGCUGAGGCCGACAGGCGUAGGCGAUGGAUAACAGGUUGAUAUUCCUGUACCACCUAUAAUCGUUUUAAUCGAUGGGGGGACGCAGUAGGAUAGGCGAAGCGUGCGAUUGGAUUGCACGUCUAAGCAGUAAGGCUGAGUAUUAGGCAAAUCCGGUACUCGUUAAGGCUGAGCUGUGAUGGGGAGAAGACAUUGAGUCUUCGAGUCGUUGAUUUCACACUGCCGAGAAAAGCCUCUAGAUAGAAAAUAGGUGCCCGUACCGCAAACCGACACAGGUAGUCAAGAUGAGAAUUCUAAGGUGAGCGAGCGAACUCUCGUUAAGGAACUCGGCAAAAUGACCCCGUAACUUCGGGAGAAGGGGUGCUCUUUAGGGUUAACGCCCAGAAGAGCCGCAGUGAAUAGGCCCAAGCGACUGUUUAUCAAAAACACAGGUCUCUGCUAAACCGUAAGGUGAUGUAUAGGGGCUGACGCCUGCCCGGUGCUGGAAGGUUAAGAGGAGUGGUUAGCUUCUGCGAAGCUACGAAUCGAAGCCCCAGUAAACGGCGGCCGUAACUAUAACGGUCCUAAGGUAGCGAAAUUCCUUGUCGGGUAAGUUCCGACCCGCACGAAAGGCGUAACGAUUUGGGCACUGUCUCAACGAGAGACUCGGUGAAAUCAUAGUACCUGUGAAGAUGCAGGUUACCCGCGACAGGACGGAAAGACCCCGUGGAGCUUUACUGUAGCCUGAUAUUGAAAUUCGGCACAGCUUGUACAGGAUAGGUAGGAGCCUUUGAAACGUGAGCGCUAGCUUACGUGGAGGCGCUGGUGGGAUACUACCCUAGCUGUGUUGGCUUUCUAACCCGCACCACUUAUCGUGGUGGGAGACAGUGUCAGGCGGGCAGUUUGACUGGGGCGGUCGCCUCCUAAAAGGUAACGGAGGCGCUCAAAGGUUCCCUCAGAAUGGUUGGAAAUCAUUCAUAGAGUGUAAAGGCAUAAGGGAGCUUGACUGCGAGACCUACAAGUCGAGCAGGGUCGAAAGACGGACUUAGUGAUCCGGUGGUUCCGCAUGGAAGGGCCAUCGCUCAACGGAUAAAAGCUACCCCGGGGAUAACAGGCUUAUCUCCCCCAAGAGUUCACAUCGACGGGGAGGUUUGGCACCUCGAUGUCGGCUCAUCGCAUCCUGGGGCUGUAGUCGGUCCCAAGGGUUGGGCUGUUCGCCCAUUAAAGCGGUACGCGAGCUGGGUUCAGAACGUCGUGAGACAGUUCGGUCCCUAUCCGUCGUGGGCGUAGGAAAUUUGAGAGGAGCUGUCCUUAGUACGAGAGGACCGGGAUGGACAUACCUCUGGUGUACCAGUUGUCGUGCCAACGGCAUAGCUGGGUAGCUAUGUGUGGACGGGAUAAGUGCUGAAAGCAUCUAAGCAUGAAGCCCCCCUCAAGAUGAGAUUUCCCAACUUCGGUUAUAAGAUCCCUCAAAGAUGAUGAGGUUAAUAGGUUCGAGGUGGAAGCAUGGUGACAUGUGGAGCUGACGAAUACUAAUCGAUCGAAGACUUAAUCAA
rnacentral:rRNA from 1 species